rnacentral:rRNA from 1 species
UACGGGAGGCAGCAGUGGGGAAUAUUGCACAAUGGGCGAAAGCCUGAUGCAGCUAUGCCGCGUGUAUGAAGAAGGCCUUAGGGUUGUAAAGUACUUUCAUCGGGGAGGAAAAACAAAACUAAUAAUUUUAUUUCUUGACGUUACCCGAAAAAGAAGCACCGGCUAACUCCGUGCCAGCAGCCGCGGUAAUACGGAGGGUGCUAGCGUUAAUCAGAAUUACUGGGCGUAAAGAGCACGUAGGUGGUUUUUUUAAGUCAGAUGUGAAAUCCCUGGGCUUAACCUAGGAACUGCAUUUUGAAACUGAAAUACUAGAGUAUCGUAGAGGGAGGUAGAAUUCUAGGUGUAGCGGUGAAAUGCGUAGAUAUCUGGAGGAAUACCUGUGGCGAAAGCGGCCUCCUAAACGAAUACUGACACUGAGGGUGCGAAAGCGU